UACAGAGGUCCCAAGCGUUGUUCGGAUUCACUGGGCGUAAAGGGUGCGUAGGCGGUCGGGUAAGUCUGAUGUGAAAUCUCACAGCUUAACUGUGAAACUGCAUUGGAUACUAUCCGGCUCGAGGAAUGGAGGGGGACGUGGAAUACUUGGUGUAGCAGUGAAAUGCGUAGAUAUCAAGUGGAACACCAGUGGCGAAGGCGAGUCUCUGGACAUUUCCUGACGCUGAGGCACGAAAGCCAGGGAGCAAACGGG
rnacentral:rRNA from 1 species